AUUGAACGCUGGCGGCAUGCCUAACACAUGCAAGUCGAACGGUAACGCGGGGGCAACCCUGGCGACGAGUGGCGGACGGGUGAGUAAUACUUAGGAAUCUGCCUAAUAGUGGGGGACAACCCGAGGAAACUCGGGCUAAUACCGCAUACGACCUACGGGAGAAAGCGGGGGACCGUAAGGCCUCGCGCUAUUAGAUGAGCCUAAGUCCGAUUAGCUAGUUGGCGGGGUAAUGGCCCACCAAGGCGACGAUCGGUAGCUGGUCUGAGAGGAUGAUCAGCCACACUGGGACUGAGACACGGCCCAGACUCCUACGGGAGGCAGCAGUGGGGAAUAUUGGACAAUGGGCGCAAGCCUGAUCCAGCAAUGCCGCGUGUGUGAAGAAGGCC
rnacentral:rRNA from 1 species